UUGAAGUAAAAGUCGUAACAAGGUUUCUGUAGGUGAACCUGCAGAAGGAUCAUUAGUGAAAGUUUCGGGCCUGCCAUACGGACGCAAACACGUCUCUGGCGCCCAUCACUAUAUCCAUACCAACCCCUGUGCACUGUGAUGACGAAUGUCAUCGAACAAAAAAAAACUCGUAUGGUUGAAUGUACGUGAAAUUGUAGGUAUAGCCUACGAACUAUACACAACUUUCGACAACGGAUCUCUUGGUUCUCCCAUCGAUGAAGAACGCAGCGAAACGCGAUAGGUAAUGUGAAUUGCAGAAUUCCGUGAAUCAUCGAAUCUUUGAACGCACCUUGCGCUCCAUGGUAUUCCGUGGAGCAUGCCUGUUUGAGUGCCGCGAAUUCUCCCUCCCCUUACGGUGGCCGAAAGGCCGAAGUAGGGCGGACGGGGUAGGAUGGGUGUUUGCUGCCUGGGGAUUGUACCAGGCUCGCCCGAAAUGCAUAAGCGCCAGGACCCUCGCUACCGCUCUCUAGGGAAGAGUGGCUAAGCGACCGCUGAGCAUGGCAUGAUACGUCAUUUGCUGUGUGUGGGCGGCCGGUUGGAGAGGUGUCUGCUUUACCAGCCCUAUUUUAAUUCUGGUCUCAAAUCAGGUAGGAUCACCCGCUGAACUUAAGCAUAUCAAUAAGCGGAGAAA
rnacentral:rRNA from 1 species